UACGUAGGGCGCAAGCGUUGUCCGGAAUUAUUGGGCGUAAAGAGCUCGUAGGCGGUUCGGCAAGUCAGCUGUGAAAUCUCCACGCUCAACGUGGAGGGGUCAGCUGAUACUGCUGUGACUCGAGUCCGGUAGGGGAGUGUGGAAUUCCCGGUGUAGCGGUGAAAUGCGCAGAUAUCGGGAGGAACACCAGUAGCGAAGGCGGCACUCUGGGCCGGUACUGACGCUGAGGAGCGAAAGCGUGGGGAGCAAACAGG
rnacentral:rRNA from 1 species